CUAACCUUCUAAUUGAGCUAACUCAACUUAACAGUACUCUCAUUCACUAAUUGAUAUCAUAACUAACAAUUAAAACAGUUUUUAACUCUUUCCUAACUAACUAAGUGAAAUUAACACUAACUUAGAUUCUAACAUCAUAACUAAAUUCAGAAACCAAGGUUAACAAAGGCUAACAGAAUUGCUAACUGCUAACAACCAAAACCA
rnacentral:lncRNA from 1 species